AGCAGCCGCGGUAAUUCCAGCUCCAAUAGCGUAUAUUAAAGUUGUUGCAGUUAAAAAGCUCGUAGUUGAAUUUCGGGAUCAAUUUAUCGGUCGUGCCUAUGGUAUGAACUGGUACAAUUGGUUUCUCCCUUCUGACGAAGCAUGAUGUCAUUAAUUUGGUGUCGUGGGGAAUCAGGACUGUUACUUUGAAAAAAUUAGAGUGUUUAAAGCAAGCAUUAGCUUGAAUACAUUAGCAUGGAAUAAUGAAAUAGGACGUUUGAUCCUAUUUCGUUGGUUUCUAGGAUCGACGUAAUGAUUAAUAGGGAUAGUUGGGGGCAUUAGUAUUCAAUUGUCAGAGGUGAAAUUCCUGGAUUUAUUGAAGACUAACUACUGCGAAAGCAUUUGCCAAGGAUGUUUUCAUUAAUCAAGAACGAAAGUUAGGGGAUCGAAGACGAUCAGAUACCGUCGUAGUCUUAACCAUAAACUAUGCCGACUAGGGAUCGGAUGAUGUUAAUUUUUUAAUGACUCA
rnacentral:rRNA from 1 species